rnacentral:lncRNA from 1 species
AUUACAUUACAGCUCUACAAUGCACCAGACGGACCCAUCUGGAUUCUUUCGGGGCUCUUAGCCCUAGAAAUAGCAUCAUUUCUUCAAACUGGAUGCUGGGCAAGGCUGGCAGGCCCGGGAGAGCCUGUGGCCAGCCUGGGUCCAGGAAGUGGGCAGCUGCCACAGAGGGGCCUCCGAGGCUAGCUGCCUCCUAACUUCCUCACGGCACACCAUUCUGCCGUCCUGAGUCUUCUCAAGGUUGGAAGGUGCCCAGAUCCAGGGAGAUGGUGCUGGCUCUUUGGUGGCUGUGGAGUGUCCAGACAGAUGAGCUGGAAUCCUUCAGUUUCUCUGCCUCUCCUGUCAAGUUGGGGUAGCACUGCUUGGACUCUUGCCCCGGCUGCAUUGACCAAGCCUUGAUGUUGCCUUGACCAAGCCUUGAUGUUGCCUUCUUUGCCAAACCACUGGCCACGAUGUUGCUGGCACAGCAGCCCAAAGGCAGCUGCUUGUCCAUCUCAGCCUGACCCAGCCUUCAUGCGGGCUCCAUCUCAGCCAUUGUAAAGCAAGCUCCUAGUUCUAGUUCUCCCCCACAAAUUUUAUUGCUAAAUAAACAAUUAAGCUACCCCUUUAAAUAGUAAAAAUAUGUAUAUACAAACAAGAUCUAAACCCAUCACAAGAAUGUAUCAACCAAGCCAGGCACAGCGGCAUGCACCUGUGGUCCCAGCUAUUCAGGAGGCUGAGGCUGAAGGAUCAGUUAUGCCCAGGUUGGAAUCCAGCCUGGGCAACAUAGUUGUAUUAGUCCAUUGUUAUGCUGCUGAUAAAGACACACCUGAGACUGGGAAGAAAAAGAGACUUAAUUGGAUUCACAGUUCCACGUGGCUGGGAAGGCCUCAGAAUCAUGGUGGAGGACAAAAGGCACACCAUACAUGGCGGCAGCAAGAAAGAAUGAGGAAGAAAUAAAAGCAGAAGCCCCUGAUAAACCCAUCAGAUCUCAUGAGACUUACUCACCAUCACAAGAAUAGCAUGGAAACGAUCGACCCCCAUGAUUCAGUUACCUCCCCCUGAGUUGCUCCCACAACAUGUGGGAAUUCUGAGAGAUACAAUUGAAGUUGAGAUUUGAAUGGGGACACAGCCAAAUCUUAUCAUUCUUUCCCUGGCCCCUCCAAAUCUUAUGUCCUCACAUUUCAAAACCAAUCAUGCCUUCUCAACACUCCCCCAAAGUCUUAACUCAUUUCAGCAUUAACCCAAAAGUCCACAGUCCAAAGUCUCAUCUGAGACAAGGCAUGGUGGAAGUUUCUUCCACCUAUGGGCCUGUAAAAUCAAAAGCAAGCUAGUUCCUUCCUAGAUACAAUAGGGGUACAGGUAUUGGGUAAAUACAGCUGUUCCAAAUGGGAGAAAUUGGCCAAAACAAAGGGGUUACAGGGCCCAUGCAAGUCCAAAAUCCAGCGGGAAUGUCAAAUUUUAAAGCUCCAAAAUGAUGUCCUUUGACUCCAGGUCUCACAUCCAGGUCAUGCUGAUGCAAGAGGUAGGUUCCCAUGGUCUUGGGCAGCUCUGCCCCUGUGGCUUUUCAGGGUACAGCCUCCAUCCCAGCUGCUUUCAUGGGUUGGCGUUGAGUGUCUGUGGCUUUUCCAGGCACACAGUGCAAGCUGUUUGUGGAUCUACCAUUCUGGGGUCUGGUGGACAAUGGCCCUCUUCUCAUAGCUCCACUAGCCAGUGCCCCAGUAAGGACUCUGUGUGAGGGCUCCAACCCCACAUUUCCCUUCUGCACUGCCCUGGCAGAGGUUCUCCAUGAGGGCCCCACCCCUGCAGCAAACUUUUGCCUGGGCAUCCAGGUGUUUCCACACAUCUUCUGUAAUCUAGGUGGAGGUUCCCAAACCUCAGUUCUUGACUUCUGUGCACCCUCAUGCUCAACACCACGUGGAAGCUACCAAGGCUUGGGGCUUCCACCCUCUGAAGCCACAGCCUGAGCUGUAUGUCGGCCCCUUUCAGUCAUGGCUGGAGCAUCUGGAACACAGGGCACCAAGUCCCUAGGCUGCACACAGCACAGGGACCCUGGGCCUGGCCCACAAAACCACUUUUGCCUCCUGGGCCUCUGGACCUGUGAUGGGAGGGGCUGCCAUGAAGGUCUGUGACAUGGCCUGGAGACAUUUUCCCCAUGGUCUUGGGGAUUAACAUUAGGCUCCUUGCUACUUAUGAAAUUUCUGCAGCCGGCUUGAAUUUCUCCCCAGAAGAUGGGUUUUUCUUUUCUACUGCAUCGUCAGGCUGCAGAUGUUCUGAACUUUGAUGCUCUGCUUCCCUUUUAAAAGGGAAUGCUUUUAACAGCACCCAGGUCACAGCUUGAAUGAUUUGCUGCUUAGAAAUUUCUUCCACCCAAUACCCUAAAUCAUCUCUCUCAAGUUCAAAGUUCCACAAAUCUCUAGGGCAGAAGCAAAAUGCUCCCUGUCUCUUUGCUAAAACAUAACAAAGUCACCUUUACUCCAGUUCCCAACAAGCUCCUCAUCUCCUUCUGAGACCACCUCAGCCUGGACCUUAUUGUCCAUAUUGCUAUCAGGCUUUUGGUCAAAGCCAUUCAACGAGUCUCUAGGAAGUUCCAAACUUUCCCACAUUUUCCUGUCUUCCUCAGAGCGCUCCAAACUGUUCCAAAAUCUGCCUGUUACCCAGUUCCAAAAUUGCUUCCACAUUUUGGUGUAUCUUUUCAGCAGCACCCCACUCUACUGGUACCAAUUUACUGCAUUAGUCUGUAUUCACACUGCUGAGAAAGACAUACCUGAAACUGGGAAGAAAAAGAGGUUUAAUUGGACUUACAGUUCCACAUGACUGGGGAGGCCUCUGAAUCAUGGAGGGAGGCAAAAGGCACUUCUUACAUGGUGGCAGCAAGAGAGAAUGAGGAAGAAGCAAAAGCAGAUAAAACUAUUAGAUCUCGUGAGACUUAUUCACUAUCAUGAGAAUAGCAUGGAAAAGACCGGCCCCCGUGAUUCAAUGACCUCCCCCUGGGUCCCUCCCACAACACAUGGGAAUUCUGGGAGAUACAAUUGAAGUUGAGAUUUGAAUGGGGACACAGCCAAACCAUAUCAGUAGUGUCCCCUGUCUCUCAAAAAAGGAAAGAAUUAAUCAACCAAAGGAGAAAUCUGAGUGGCUGUGGCUAGUGCUCUGGGCUGGGCAUGGACAGUAGUCCCAGGGAAGCCUCCCUGUCACGAAUUAUGGUGGCCAAUUAACCAUGUCAGCCGUAGUUUCAUCAUAACCAGAGUUUCAAAGAGAGAAUGAAUCAUAAAACUUUAAAGCUUAGAAAAGAUCUCAGAAAUUAAGACCCGUAUCUUAGAGUGGAGCUUCUCAAAUGUCAUCGUGCAUGCGAUCCCCUGGGCAUCUCGUUAGGGAGAGUUCUGAGUCGGAGGACAGGGGCAGGGCAGGGGGCAGGGAUCAGCAUCUCUAACCAGCUCCUGGGGAGGCCGCUGUGGGGCCAUGCUGGGAUGGCAAGGCCUCAGAGG